UACGUAGGCAGCGAGCGUUGUUCGGAGUUACUGGGCGUAAAGCGCGCGCAGGCGGCCCUGUGCGCUGCCGGUGAAAGCUCCCGGCUUACCUGGGAGAGGUUCGGCAGGACGGCAGGGCUGGAGGGUGGGAGAGGUCGGUGGAAUUCCCGGUGUAGUGGUGAAAUGCGUAGAGAUCGGGAGGAACACCCGUAGCGAAGGCGGCCGACUGGACCACACCUGACGCUGAGGCGCGAAGGCCAGGGGAGCGAACGGG
rnacentral:rRNA from 1 species